rnacentral:tRNA from 1 species
GCGGGAUUGGUAUAAUGGUAGCACACGACCUUGCCAUGGUUGAAACAGGGGUUCGAUUCCCCUAUCCCGCUCCA